GGGCGGGUAGUUCAGUGGGAGAACGCUUGCUUGACACGCAAGAGGUCGGAAGUUCAAUUCUUCUCCCGCCCACCA
rnacentral:tRNA from 1 species